UCAUUAGACUAGGAAUUAUCACGAUCUAUUAUAAAUUGAUUUUUUUAUCACGUCGUUUACCAUGUCACAAGAAACGAUAUUAGGAUAUGUUUUUUUAGUUGUUAGUUGCUAAAGUCAGAUGAGAAGCCAUCACUCCACUAGGUUCAAUUUCAGAUGAAACACGUCCACGGGUCUGCGUUUCAUCAUCCUCCCCGCUUGCCUUAGCCGAUGACGUUGAUUUAUUUUUACAAACAAAAGUUAUUGAAACACUAUUAUGUGUUUGAACUAUCUUGUUUACCUAAACUAAAUUAUCCUAAAUGAAAGACCAGGCAUACUGCUUCGAAAAUGACUGGAUAUUAUCCUCAUAUCCUCAGCC
rnacentral:lncRNA from 1 species